rnacentral:rRNA from 1 species
AAACUAGGAUUAGAUACCCUAUUAUUCAAACCUUAAAUUUGUAAGUAAAAUAAAGAUUAUGAAAGCAAAAAAUUAUGGCGGUAUUUUAAGCUUUUCAGAGGAAUUUGCUCUUUAAUGGAUAAAACACCUAAAUCUUACUUAAAUUUGUUAAUUCAAUUUGUAUACCACUAUAAAAACAAUUUAUAACUUUAAUUGUUGAUAUUUAUUAAAUUAAAAUAUAUUAAGUCAAGGUGCAGUAAAAAUUUAAGGAUGAAGUGAAUUACAUUACUUUUUAGAGAAAUAAAUUUAAAAUAAUAUUUAGGAUUUGAAAGUAAAAUUAAAAUAUAAUGUUAAUUUGAAUUAAGCUCUAAAAUAUGUACACAUCGCCCGUCGCUCUCAUU